rnacentral:rRNA from 1 species
UACGUAGGGUGCGAGCGUUGCCCGGAAUUAUUGGGCGUAAAGAGCUCGUAGGCGGCUUGUCGCGUCGGAUGUGAAAGCCCGGGGCUUAACUCCGGGUCUGCAUUCGAUACGGGCAGGCUAGAGUUCGGUAGGGGAGAUCGGAAUUCCUGGUGUAGCGGUGAAAUGCGCAGAUAUCAGGAGGAACACCGGUGGCGAAGGCGGGUCUCUGGGCCGAUACUGACGCUGAGGAGCGAAAGCAUGGGGAGCGAACAGG